rnacentral:rRNA from 1 species
UCCGUAGGUGAACCUGCGGAAGGAUCAUUAGUGAAUUAAACAUGCUUGGUGUCUUCGCUUCGGCAAGGCCCUUGCUUAAAUCACAUCCUAACACCUGUGAACUGUAAGACGUAUGAUGAGGUCUUUGGCCAAGUCAUCGUCUGCCCAUUUUUAACAAACAAUUAAUGUAACAAACGUAGUCUUAUUAUAACCUAAUAAAACUUUCAACAACGGAUCUCUUGGCUCUCGCAUCGAUGAAGAACGCAGCGAAAUGCGAUAAGUAAUGUGAAUUGCAGAAUUCAGUGAAUCAUCGAAUCUUUGAACGCACCUUGCGCUCUUUGGUAUUCCGAAGAGCAUGCCUGUUUGAGUGUCAUGAAAAUAUCAACCUUGACUUGGGUUUUGUGCUCUAGUCUUGGCUUGGAAUUGGGUGCUUGCCGCUUUUACGAGCGGCUCACCUUAAAUGUAUUAGCUGGAUCUGUCUUUGAGACUUGGUUUGACUUGGCGUAAUAAGUAUUUCGCUAAGGACAUUCUUCGGAGUGGCCUCGUUUCUAGGACGCUUGUCCGCUUCCCAAUACAAGUUCCACCUCGUGGACAUGACUUUUUUAUUAUCUGGCCUCAAAUCAGGUAGGACUACCCGCUGAACUUAAGCAUAUCAAUAAGCGGAGGA